GGUUUCAUAGUGUAGUGGUCAUCACGUAGUAGUGGUCAUCACGUCUGCUUUACACGCAGACGUCCUGGGUUCAAUCCCCAGUGAAACCA